GGAAAGCAAACGCACGUUUGGCAGAGAGCCAGACCUUAAAUCUUGAGCCACUGCUGAUCUCAAAAAGACAUCAGAAUACAGAGACCGAAUGCAGACCUUCACCAUGCUGGGAAGCAGUAGGUUGGAGCGGACCCAACUUUGGAAGCGUGAAGUGGCCCUGAGGACAGCUUCAAUGCUGCAGGAUUUCCCCUUGCCUGCUGAGGUGCAAAUGCUAUUGUCUGAUAUCUGGUGCAGUGGCAGGAUGCAGUGUGGAAUGUGCACACCUUAGAUCGAGACAGAGAGAGAGAAGGAAGGAAGGGAG